rnacentral:rRNA from 1 species
AGUGAACGCUGGCGGUAGGCCUAACACAUGCAAGUCGAACGGCAGCACAGUAAGAGCUUGCUCUUACGGGUGGCGAGUGGCGGACGGGUGAGGAAUACAUCGGAAUCUACUUUUUCGUGGGGGUUAACGUAGGGAAACUUACGCUAAUACCGCAUACGACCUACGGGUGAAAGCAGGGGAUCUUCGGACCUUGCGCGAUUGAAUGAGCCGAUGUCGGAUUAGCUAGUUGGCGGGGUAAAGGCCCACCAAGGCGACGAUCCGUAGCUGGUCUGAGAGGAUGAUCGGCCACACUGGAGCUGAGACACGGUCCAGACUCCUACGGGAGGCAGCAGUGGGGAAUAUUGGACAAUGGGCGCAAGCCUGAUCCAGCCAUACCGCGUGGGUGAAGAAGGCCUUCGGGUUGUAAAGCCCUUUUGUUGGGAAAGAAAAGCAGCAGGUUAAUACCCCGCUGUUCUGACGGUACCCAAAGAAUAAGCACCGGCUAACUUCGUG